GACGAACGCUGGCGGCGUGCUUAACACAUGCAAGUCGAACGGAAAGGCCCUGCUUUUGUGGGGUGCUCGAGUGGCGAACGGGUGAGUAACACGUGAGUAACCUGCCCUUGACUUUGGGAUAACUUCAGGAAACUGGGGCUAAUACCGGAUAGGAGCUCCUGCUGCAUGGUGGGGGUUGGAAAGUUUCGGCGGUUGGGGAUGGACUCGCGGCUUAUCAGCUUGUUGGUGGGGUUGGGGCUUUCCAAGGUUUUGGGGGGUAGCCGGCCUGAGAGGGUGACCGGCCACAUUGGGACUGAGAUACGGCCCAGACUCCUACGGGAGGCAGCAGUGGGGAAUAUUGCACAGUGGGCGGAAGCCUGAUGCAGCAACGCCGCGUGCGGGAUGACGGCCUUCGGGUUGUAAACCGCUUUCGCCUGUGACGAAGCGUGAGUGACGGUAAUGGGUAAAGAAGCACCGGCUAACUACGUG
rnacentral:rRNA from 1 species